UGGGGAAUCUUGGACAAUGGGGGAAACCCUGAUCCAGCCAUGCCGCGUGAGCGAUGAAGGCCUUAGGGUUGUAAAGCUCUUUCAGCGGGGAAGAUAAUGACGGUACCCGCAGAAGAAGCCCCGGCUAACUCCGUGCCAGCAGCCGCGGUAAUACGGAGGGGGCUAGCGUUGUUCGGAAUUACUGGGCGUAAAGCGCACGUAGGCGGAUCAGCCAGUCAGGGGUGAAAGCCCGGGGCUCAACCCUGGAACUGCCCUUGAUACUGCUGGUCUGGAGUUCGAGAGAGGCGAGUGGAAUUCCGAGUGUAGAGGUGAAAUUCGUAGAUAUUCGGAGGAACACCAGUGGCGAAGGCGGCUCGCUGGCUCGACACUGACGCUGAGGUGCGAAAGCGUGGGGAGCAAACAGG
rnacentral:rRNA from 1 species